rnacentral:ribozyme from 1 species
UGCCUAGCAACUCUUAUCCCUACCUCCUCGAGGUAUGAGCAACCUUAGGAAAGACCGCGUAACCAACCCCGAUGGGAACAUUGAUUGUUUGGUGACAGGGAAGG